rnacentral:rRNA from 1 species
UACGGAGGGUGCAAGCGUUAUCCGGAUUUACUGGGUUUAAAGGGUGCGUAGGUGGGUAGGAAAGUCAGUGGUGAAAUCUUCGGGCUUAACCCGGAAACUGCCAUUGAUACUAUUUAUCUUGAAUACUUUGGAGGUAAGCGGAAUAUGUCAUGUAGCGGUGAAAUGCGUAGAUAUCGCUUGGAACGCCAAAGGUGAAAACAGGUUGCUGGGGUUGUGCCGACGCUGAGACACGAAAGCCAGGGGAGCAAACGGG